UGAGAGUCUGUCUAUUGGUCAGGGUGAGAGCAUUGGUGCUGCUUUAACUACAAGCUCCAGGUGAUUCUCAGGUGAGGUCAGGGUGAAGCACGAGGAUUCGCAGGCAUAUUUGGGAGGGCUGGGUCUGCCUUUCAGUAGAAGAGAUGAUGAUAGUCUGGCAGGGACUUGGAAGGGGCAGGUCAGUGCAGCCCCAUUCUCUGAGCUGUGGCAGGAAGUGUGGCUGUCUGUAGGAGGGGAAGACAUCUGAAACCGGGAAGGAGAAACUCACAGGUCUUGCUCUCUCUGGAUCUGGUCAAGAUUUCUGGAAAAGGAAAGAGCCCUGACAUGUGAAGAGCAAGGAGACAUUACCCACACAUGCAGUACCCUUCUAGUACUAUUCCAAAAUUUACAAGUACUCCAGAUGAUUCUGAUGAAAGCUAACUUUGACAGCCUCUGCAGGAACUAAGUCAGAGAUCAUCCUUGACUUGACCACAGGUGCCUGAGGGACUUAUUUCUGUCAUGAAGGACGUGGAAGCAGAGAGAAUGAGGGCACCUGCUGGAUGCACUGUGAUGGCUGCUCAGAAAACAGGUGAGCUUUUGUUUACACACUGGAGAGACUACAGAGCUGAGGACAACAGAGGAAGGUAUCAUGAGCUCUAAAGAACGUUCCUGGGAUUUCUGCACCUCACCUCAAGGUGCCCACCACUAUCCUGACACACUUCACACAAGAAGCAAAACAGAAGUCAGAAAUGCAUUAGCGUACAGUUCCUCAGAAACACAGAGAUUUCCGCAAGACCUCAAAGCAA